UUUUUUGGGAGGGGUGGGGGUGGGACUCGUGGGAGGGAGAGGGAGGCGAUUCUUUUCGCCUCCAUUUGGUUCGGGGUUAAGGAAAAACUAGCUAUUUCAGGAAUAGAGUUAAGUUUGGAGUUAAAGUGGGGUUAAAGGUUUUUUGUGUUUGGUUGGGGGUUGGAGUUAGUUUAGAAUAAUGAAAAAUAGUGUUUGGUUGGAGUAGGUAGGAUAAGAAGAUAAUGAUUGAUAAAGAAGGAUAGUGAUUGGUUGGAGUAGGUGUGAUAAGAAAGAUAAUGGGUUAUUAUGAAUAGAAAAUAGUGUUUGGUUGGAGUUUGGUGGGGUUAGGUGGGAUUAGCUAACCCGAGAUAAUUUAUUUGAGCUGGGGUUAGGUGGGGUUAGCUAACCCCACCCCUUAACCCCCAACCAAACAAGGGCGAAGGAAUGGUUUUUUUUUUUUUUUUUUUUUUUUGGGUGACAAGGCGAAGCAAGUUUAUCUGAGGUAUCGUUUGGUUCGAAAAUAAGUAAAGAAUGGGUAUUCCGAGAAUAGAUAUUAAUUGAGAUACAAGUAGAAAUUAGAUUAAUUUUACAUUUAGAUAAAAAUUGAAUUAUUUUUAAAAAUAAGAAAAAUAUCGUUUGGUUAGGUAAGAUGAAAAAAUAAUUAAAAUGGGUAGUUAUUAAAUAAAAAAUAAUAUUAUUAUUUUUUUCUCUAUACUAGAAUUAAAAUUUUUUAUUUUAUAUUUAUAUUUUAAAAAAUCAAAAUUAAAUUUUAAAAUUUUAAAAUUUUAAAAUCUCAAAUUUAUAAUUUUAAAAAAUUAAAAUUUUAAAUUUUAAAUUUUGUAAUUUUAAAAAUUAUAAAUUUUAAUUUUUAAACUUACGAAAUUUAAAUUUUAUAAUAAAUUAAAAAUUCUUUCACUCACACACUCUCUCUCUCUCUCUCUCUCUCUUCACGGGUGGAACAAGCUGGGUUAUCGCAGCUUGUUCCACCUUGAGAUGGGAACACUAAUUCCCUCCUUAACGGAAAUAGCCAGCCCGUUAAGGAGGGAAUUAGUGUUCCCACCAUUUUUUAUUUGUGUUUGGAGAAUAAGGGUGGAAUAAACCCUUUAUUCCACCCUUAUCCCCCAACCAAACAUAGCCUGAAAGUUUUCUUUUUUCCUAUUUUGGGCCACCUGAGAGGCCCACGAGUCUGCGUCACAGGAUUGCAGGUCGCAGGAACCGGGCCCUUUUUCUGGGGUGAAUUAUUCGCGAAUCGCAUUUAAUUCGCGAAUAAUUAUUUUUACCCAAAAAACACGAAUUUUUUCAAAUUUUUGAGAAAAAUACGAAAACGACUGUUUUAUUCGGCAUUUCAAAAAUUCGCGAAUAAUUCGCGAAUUAACUAACUAUGGUUUGAACUAGAAUUACUUCAAGUUAAAAUUUUUAUUAAAUUUAGUAACUCUAUCAGUUUUUAGUUAUUUUAAAUUUAUUUGCUAACAAAACUAAAAUCGUUAAAUUUGACAAAAUCAUUAAAGUUGAUAAAAUUUCUAAUAUAUUUGCCUACAAUCACUUAAUUUUCAAAAUUAAAAAAUUAAAAGGUCCACCCAAAACUUUUAAAAUAUAGGAUCCAAAUUUAAUUUCGACUUAAUUACACUCUAUUAUAUUAUACUUUAUUAUUUUUUUUCAAUUUUUACAUUAUAUUUAUAUUUUUUUAAGACACUAUUGUAUUAUUAUAUUUUACCCAUCUUUGCCGUUAGAUCUACGCAUUUAAAUUGAAAAAAAAAAAAAUUUACCAUUAGAUCUACGCAUUAAUUAUUUUUACCUGUUAGAUUAUACUAUUCAACCAACCACCCACUCAACCCUAGGGGGCCCACAUUAUCCUAACCGUACAUCCCUUAAUCCAAGGGCCGAAAACUUACGAGUACCAAUGACUUGUACUUUUAAAAGCAUAGGAGCUCAAUUCUAUAUAUAGUGUUUGUUUUCGAUCUUAGGGCGUUCAAAUCAACGAUCCACACCGUUAAAUAUGAUUUAGGGUAUAUGAAUUUCUUAGGAAUAAAAUUUUAGUUUUUUUCGAUAUCGUUUAUUUAGUAAAUAAAUUAUAUCAAAAUGGACGGUAAAAAUUAAAUAAUCUUUAAAAUUUGAGCAUAGAACUUUUAAAUUCAAGAUCAAGAAUGUUAACCCUAAUCUAUAUAGUUUAAAGUAUUUUCUAUCAAAAUUUGAAGAAAUUUAGAUUCUUCUACACCGUUAAACUUCAAACUCGUCAUAAUAGCCUUUGAAAAUUGACAAUUUUAAAAUAGUUUGAUCAUAAAAUAAACUAUGUCGAAAAAAUAUAAAAUUUUAUUUCUAAAAACUUUAAAUACCCUAGAUCAGUUUUAACAGUGUGGAUCGUUGAUUUGAACGCCCUAAGAUAUAGUACCGGAGCUCGGUACUAUAGAUAGUAUAGUAGCCUAGCUAUAUAUAUAUAUAUAGUAAGUAUUGUGUGCUAUUAGGAGCACGGAGGCCUUCAUGCUCCUAAGCCGUUUUCGAUGAUGGAGUUUUCAAAUUGAUGAUCGAUUCCGUUAGACUUGACCUAGUAUAUUUGAAAUAUUUAAAAAAUAAAUUUUAUAAGUUUUUUAUAUCAUUUACCUAUCAAUCGAAAGGGUUCAAAAUCAUUUUGGUCGCUCAAAAUACGCAUAAUUUAAAAGGUACCCAUCCAUCUCAUCAAUAAUUUUUUGCAUAGAAAAAUUAGUGCCCAUACUGUCAAUUUUUUUACAGAUAACCUGCAGGUAUCCGUGAUCAUGAAUAGAUAAGAAAGUAUAAUUCUAAUGGUGCUCUCUCUGGAUUUUUUUUUUUUUUUCUGUGUGUUUUUGUCAUAUAUUCAAACAAAGAGAAAAGGUAAAAAAAAAAAAAAAGAAGAGUUGCAUUUUUUUUCUAUUUCUUUUUUAUGAUAAAAUUAAAGAGAAAACCUCAAAAAAACCGCCUGCAGUUUCUUAGUUUCUCACACUGCCCCCCUAUGGUUUAAAAUAUAUCAAUUUGCCCUUCUGUGGUUUCUUUUUUUCUUUUUCUUAUUAAUUUUUUUUUUCUUAAAUCAGUGAUAAAGUUAAAAUUAAAGAGUACUAAAGUGAAUAUUUGAUAAAUCUAGAUGGGUAUAUGAAGUUUUUUGUAUAUAAUUUAAUAAAAUAUUAACGAAAAAGCUACCAAAAAGAUAAAAAAAAAAAAUCACGGGGGGGCAAAUUGAUACACUUUAAAACACAGGGUACUAAAGUGAGGAACGAUGAAACCACAGGGGGGGUUUUUUGAAGAAAACUUGAGCAUUUCUAAUUACUUAAUUUUCCUUUACAUGAAUCAACAUCACAACAUUUGGAGAGUUCAUUAGAGAGAGAGAGAGAGAGAGAGAGUGAGAGAGAGAUCUAAAGAGAGAGUAACAAACAGUACUCAGAGAACCUCCUUAGCUAGUUUCAGAAUCCUAAUGAACAAUUAUACAUAGAACAUGCACCAACAUAAAAUGAUCAUGCAUCUUGAUCAACAAUCGAUCGGCGAGCGAUCGAAUUACCCGCUAAAUGAAAAUCACAUAG
rnacentral:lncRNA from 1 species